rnacentral:rRNA from 1 species
AUACGGAAGGUCCGGGCGUUAUCCGGAUUUAUUGGGUUUAAAGGGAGCGCAGGCGGAGAUGCAAGCGUGACGUCAAAUUUCGGGGCUCAACCCCGUCUCGCGUCGCGAACUGCGUCCCUUGGUUGCGGGAAGGGGAGGCGGAACUCGGGGUGUAGCGGUUGAAUGCAUAGAUAUCACGAAGAACUCCGAUCGCGAAGGCAGCCUUCCGGCCCGUCAACGACGCUCAUGCUCGAAGGUGCGGGUAUCAAACAGGAUUAGAUACCCUGGUAGUCCGCACAGUAAACGAUGGACACCCGCGGUUUGGCCUGUAUGGCUGAGCCGCCAAGCGAAAGCGUUAAGUGUCCCACCUGGGGAGUACGCCGGCAACGGUGAAACUCAAAGGAAUUGACGGGG